rnacentral:rRNA from 1 species
GUACGGCCGCAAGGCUAAAACUCAAAGGAAUUGACGGGGGCCCGCACAAGCGGCGGAGCAUGCGGAUUAAUUCGAUGCAACGCGAAGAACCUUACCAAGGCUUGACAUGAACCGGUAAUACCUGGAAACAGGUGCCCCGCUUGCGGUCGGUUUACAGGUGGUGCAUGGUUGUCGUCAGCUCGUGUCGUGAGAUGUUGGGUUAAGUCCCGCAACGAGCGCAACCCUCGUUCUAUGUUGCCAGCGCGUUAUGGCGGGGACUCAUAGGAGACUGCCGGGGUCAACUCGGAGGAAGGUGGGGACGACGUCAAAUCAUCAUGCCCCUUAUGUCUUGGGCUUCACGCAUGCUACAAUGGCCGGUACAAAGGGUUGCGAUACUGUGAGGUGGAGCUAAUCCCAAAAAGCCGGUCUCAGUUCGGAUUGGGGUCUGCAACUCGACCCCAUGAAGUCGGAGUCGCUAGUAAUCGCAGAUCAGCAACGCUGCGGUGAAUACGUUCCCGGGCCUUGUACACACCGCCCGUCAAGUCACGAAAGUUGGUAACACCCGAAGCCGGUGGCCUAACCCU